rnacentral:rRNA from 1 species
AUUGAACGCUGGCGGAAUGCUUUACACAUGCAAGUCGGGCGGCAGCGCGGGGGCAACCCUGGCGGCGAGCGGCGAACGGGUGAGUAACACAUCGGAACGUACCCUGUCGUGGGGGAUAACGAAUCGAAAGAUUCGCUAAUACCGCAUACGACCUGAGGGUGAAAGCGGGGGAUCGCAAGACCUCGCGCGAGAGGAGCGGCCGAUGGCGGAUUAGCUAGUUGGUGGGGUAAAGGCCCACCAAGGCGACGAUCCGUAGCGGGUCUGAGAGGACGGCCCGCCACACUGGGACUGAGACACGGCCCAGACUCCUACGGGAGGCAGCAGUGGGGAAUUUUGGACAAUGGGGGCAACCCUGAUCCAGCCAUUCCGCGUGAGUGAAGAAGGCCUUCGGGUUGUAAAGCUCUUCGGUCAGGAACGAAACGGACGGGCGUCUAACAUAGCCUGUCAAUGACGGUACCUCGAAGAAGAAGCACCGGCUAACUACGUGCCAGCAGCCGCGGUAAACUAGUACUACG